UACAGAGGUCCCAAGCGUUGUUCGGAUUCACUGGGCGUAAAGGGUGCGUAGGUGGUCGGGUAAGUCUGAUGUGAAAUCUCCGAGCUCAACUCGGAAAUGGCAUUGGAUACUAUUCGGCUAGAGGGUUUGAGGGGGGACUGGAAUACUUGGUGUAGCAGUGAAAUGCGUAGAUAUCAAGUGGAACACCAGUGGCGAAGGCGAGUCCCUGGAAAACUCCUGACACUGAGGCACGAAAGCCAGGGGAGCGAACGGG
rnacentral:rRNA from 1 species